CUGGAGUUAAAUUUUUAGAAAGUCCGCCAUUACACAACUCUGCCGAGCAGCACAUGAGAACUGGAGUUAUGUUCUUCGUUGUGAGAAGUGGUAGGCCUACUUGAUCAGAUGGAGAAACCUGCUGUUCACAUUUCAAAUAGGCUAACUUACACAACGGGGCCACGAUGCUGAUAAAAGUGCAAUUUGGAGGCAAGAAAAAAUAUAUUAAACUGGAAGAAGAUUGUUUCUUGGAUUUUUUCAGUGCGGUCCAGCACAAGUUUGUGAUACCAGAGGAUACAGCAUCGAAAGUCACAGAUGACCAUGGCAUAGAGGUGGAUGAGGAUGUAUUUCAAGAACUUGCAACAACCAAAGAAACAUGUCAUCCACACUAAUGAUGAUUUGACUGUCCUGCAGCAAGGGGCUGUUGAAGUGCCCUCCUCCCCAAGUCUGACAGAUACAUUGUCUGUGUCAAGCAGUUUGAGCAGCAGUGAUUCUGGAUCUCAAAUUAUUCAACCUUUAAUGGGCAGUGUCCAAAAAAAUAAAAUCGAGCAAAUUCUAACUUCAAAGCCAGCAGAGUUGACUGUGAUUAAGGAGUAUGACAAGAUAUUUUUUUGCUGCUUUUGAUUCCUGUGAAGUUAAUUUUAUAUAAUGUAAUGUGUUGAUUGUCUCAUGCAAUUUUACUAAGCCAUUGGUUUUAGUUGGCACUAGCUGCUAACAUAUAUUAAUUGUAAAUGUUUUGCUGUUAGAUUUAAUGCUUUGAUGACAAUUAAUUUCAAAGUGUGUACAUCGAUGGAAAUUCUAAAUCUAAUGUGUGGAUUUGCAUGAAUAAAAGCAGUAAGUAAAGAGUAUUGCAUCAGUUCAGUCAUU
rnacentral:lncRNA from 1 species